rnacentral:rRNA from 1 species
CACGUAGGGAGCAAGCGUUGUCCGGAUUUAUUGGGCGUAAAGAGCUCGUAGGCGGUUCAGUAAGUCAGGUGUGAAACCUCCAGGCUCAACCUGGAGACGCCACCUGAUACUGCUGUGACUUGAGUCCGGUAGGGGAGCGUGGAAUUCCUGGUGUAGCGGUGAAAUGCGCAGAUAUCAGGAGGAACACCAGCGGCGAAGGCGGCGCUCUGGGCCGGAACUGACGCUGAGGAGCGAAAGCGUGGGGAGCGAACAGG